AUGUCUGUAGGUAUGCUGACUGGCCAUCCUGAAGAGGAGAUGUCCGGAUCUUCGGACGAUCUCCUACAAGAGCUAUCGCAAAUGCACGAGAGAGCUCGGCAGGCAAUGCAAAGUAUUGCCAAGGCCUUAUGGCCAUCUGAAUCCCCUCCAAGAAGUAUGGAGGGGCUUGUACAACUAUUUAAGGAAGUGCGGCGGUGCUUCCGAUUAUGGAAGAUAUCGGCCUGCCGGGAAGGUGUGCGAGAGGCCUGGGUGAUGUCUACUACACAACCUUCUUCUUGUAGAGGUUGUUGGGCCUCCAAGUGCAGAGGUUUGUAG
rnacentral:rRNA from 1 species